UACGUAGGGUGCAAGCGUUAAUCGGAAUUACUGGGCGUAAAGCGUGCGCAGGCGGUUUUGUAAGUCUGACGUGAAAUCCCCGGGCUCAACCUGGGAAUUGCGUUGGAGACUGCAAGGCUAGAAUCUGGCAGAGGGGGGUAGAAUUCCACGUGUAGCAGUGAAAUGCGUAGAGAUGUGGAGGAACACCGAUGGCGAAGGCAGCCCCCUGGGUCAAGAUUGACGCUCAUGCACGAAAGCGCGGGGAGCAAACAGG
rnacentral:rRNA from 1 species